GCGAUCUUGUUCGUCUUCUAGUUUCUAGUGUUUGGCAUCUGGGCAUCGCGUUCUCACGCUCACGCUUCCACUUGAACAUUCUUCUUCAUCCUCAUUCUCCUGGUUUGUUUGUGUUACUCUUUUGUUUUUGUAUGUCUCUGUCAAUAUCGUUUACAUCUUUCUAUUAGAAGAAGAAAAAUGUACAAUUAUUUGUUCCCAUAAAAAAAAGAAACUGUUCUGUCUCUCUGUUAUUAGUCCAUGCCGGUUUCUUCUGCAUAGGUC
rnacentral:lncRNA from 1 species